ACUAAUCAGUAGACUUUGACAAUGAUCGCCAUAGCCAGUAGUGUUAACCCUGGAAGUUUGCUUAAUUUGCUCAUAUACGCAGAAUUAAUACUGAAUAUAACCUUGUUAACAUUAGUCUGAUGUAAUAGCUGAUACUUCUUGUUAACAUUAGUCUGUUGUAAUAGCUGAUACUUUCUAAUCUUUUCAUAUAUGCACUAUCUUUGUUUAUAUUCUUCAUCAAGUUCCUAAUGUAGCUCCUUCCUCGUGUGUUGUUUCUUGAUGGUCUCAAGAUACCCUUGUGAGCCAGCAAAGGUUCUCACUU
rnacentral:lncRNA from 1 species